AAUCGGACCCAUUGUAUAUUACUUAUUGUUGUUUUUUUAUAUUAUUGUAUAUAUACAUUUCUUAUAUUGUAUAUUACUUAUUGUCGUUUUUUUACAUUUUAAGAUAAUUGUUUAAUGUAGUAUUUCCAUUUUAUAAAUUGAAUAUUUACUAAUUAUUUAUUUUAACUUAUAUUACAUAUAUAAAUUUCUUAUAUUGUAUAUUACUCAUUAUCGUUUGGGCAAAUCUCCAAAAUAGAACAUUUCUAAGUUUAUAUCACAGAAAAUAGCACUCAAAAACUAAAAUCAAAAAAAUCUCAAAAUUUGAAAUCUUAUCUCCAAAAAACCUUAAAACCUAAACUCUAAACCCUAAACUCUAAAUUCUAAACCCUAAACCCCACCCCUUAAGUGCUAUUUUUGCGACUUUUGACCUUGAGUGCUAGUUUCGGAACAAAAACUUGAUUUAGUGCUAUUUUGGUCUUUUUCUCUUAUCGUUUUUUACAUUUUAAGAUAAAUGUUUGAUGUUUAUGUGUAAAAUAAAUUAUUUCAAAUAUUAUGUUUGAUAUUUAAAAUACAUAUAUAUAAUAUUUAUCAUAUGAUGGUGGUAUGAGAGAAAGGUUUUGUAUUUUAGGUUGAAAGAAACUAUUGGAAGGAGAUGCAAGAAAUUAGCAUAACGAGACUUUUCGUUGAUAUAUGAAUAUGCUUUUAGAAAAUUUUUAUCAAUAUAUAGAUGUUUAAAUCUUAAUAUAUUUUUUUCAUUGUUUUUAAGUUGUGUAUUUCUUUUUCUUAUACUUUCUAUUUACUUAAUAUCUAUAUUUUACAUUUUAAGAUAGAUGUUUAAUAUUUAAUGUACUCUUUCCAUUUUAUUAAAGCUUCAUCAAACUACUUCAAGUUGCACAUGCAAGAAGACCAUAUCCUUUGAUCUUUCACCAGCAGGUGCUGGGGCAGUAGCCAUGGGUGUCUGAGUGUCUAAGUUGUCCCCAUUGAUGACUCGCAAAAAGCCAAUGAUAUCUGUCAGGGAGUUAAAAAUGUUAAAGUGCUGAGAAUCAAUCUGGUCUAAAUAAAUCAUUAGAGUUAAAGAUUUAUAAUGUUUAGAGAGAAAAAAGUGUUCACCGAGAAGAUCUGUGUGUUUAUCGACAAUGUCGGUGAACGCUUGGAGAUCUCGUAUACGAAAGUGCUGAGAAUCAAUCUGGUAGUCCACUUCAUGAACAGGAGUGAAGGUUGUCUUGUUGUUGAAGCUGAUCCCGUGCUUAUGUGGUGAGACUCUGUAAACUGAUUUGGAAAGUCUGAUGCUGAACCCGUUGAGCUUGUAAAUUGUGUUGGGUUUCAGGUCCUCUUUGAAGCGGGGAAGGAAGUGUGUGGAGAUAAACCCGUGAAUGGUUGUUGACUGUGGUGGUUUCAUUACGCAAGAGUUAGUAAUGAAUGUUAACAAUAAAAGUAUGGUAGUUUAAGUUGAGAGAAUACCUUUGAGUCUAUGAGGAGCAACUCAACUCCCAUGAGUAUGUUCGCCUUUUUGAAGUUUCGGGCUUCCCAGCAAUGAAUCAGCCUGACAAAAACUUCCUUGUUACAGAAAUCUCCUUCGAGGUCGUCAAACGUUGUUGGGACAGCGAGGGUUGUGGGAGGAGCCAUUGUCUUUUCUUUGCUGGAUUUCUUUGGAGUCUUCUUUGAUGGGUGUGAGGUUGAUGGUGUUGAUACAAUGGGUUUUAUAGAGACGUGCUUGAUGUAAAUUUAUACAUUUUCCUUUUACUGUUUGAUGUAGUAUUUCCAUUUUUUAAAAUUGUAUAUUUGCUCUUUUUUUCUUAUAUUGUAUAUUUCCAUUUAUUAUAUUGUAUAUUACCUUUUAUUUAUUUUUUUCAUUUUAAGAUAGAUGUUUAAUGUAGAAUUUAUAUUUUCUAAAAUGUAUAUUUACUUAUUAUUUUCUCUUAUAUUGUAUAUAUACAUUUCUUAUAUUGGGGGUGAUUGGUAGUUGCUGUAGGUGAUGUCCACAACCCUAUUUAUUUCUACAGCACCAAAUUCAGAGCAAUCAAGCUUUAAAUUUUUUUUUGAAACCACAGCUCUUAAAAUAACCUACAGCUGUACAAAUGCUCUGCAGAGCCAAAUAUCCAAAGCAAUUUUUUAGUGCUUCAAUAAAAUUCUACAACAAUAAAAUCUAAAGCCACAUCAAAAAGUUUACAGAUUUUUUUCUACAACAAAAUAUUUAAAGCUACGGCCAUUACCAAUCGGACCCAUUGUAUAUUACUUAUUGUUGUUUUUUUAUAUUAUUGUAUAUAUACAUUUCUUAUAUUGUAUAUUACUUAUUGUCGUUUUUUUACAUUUUAAGAUAAUUGUUUUAAUGUAGUAUUUCCAUUUUAUAAAUUGAAUAUUUACUAAUUAUUUAUUUUAACUUAUAUUACAUAUAUAAAUUUCUUAUAUUGUAUAUUACUCAUUAUCGUUUGGGCAAAUCUCCAAAAUAGCACAUUUCUAAGUUUAUAUCACAUAAAUAGCACUCAAAAACUAAAAUGACCAAAAUAGCAUUUUAUCUUUUGAAAAAUUUAAAUUUUUUUAUUUUUCAAAAUUUG
rnacentral:lncRNA from 1 species